AAACUAAAUAAAAAUAAUUUAGGGAUUGUUGAAAAAUCCUUUAGGGAUUGCUAAAUGAAAAUCCGUUAGGGAUUGCUAAAAUAUCCUUUAGGGAUUGUUAAAUUAAAUAAAUAUCCUUUAGGGACUGCUGAAAUAUCCUUUAGGGAUUGGUAAAAUAUCCUUUAGGGAUUGUUAAAUUAAAGAAAUAUACUUUAGAGAUUGUUAAAUUCAAUAAAAACCCUUUAGGGAUUGCUAAAAUAUCCUUUAGGGAUUGCUAAAUUAAAUAAAUAUACUUUNAAUUCCUUUUUUCUCCUUUAA
rnacentral:lncRNA from 1 species